rnacentral:rRNA from 1 species
GCGCCGCUACAGGGCGCGNCCAUUCGCCNUUCAGGCUGCGCAACUGUUGGGAAGGGCGAUCGGUGCGGGCNUCUUCGCUAUUACGCCAGCUGGCGAAAGGGGGAUGUGCUGCAAGGCGAUUAAGUUGGGUAACGCCAGGGUUUUCCCAGUCACGACGUUGUAAAACGACGGCCAGUGAAUUGUAAUACGACUCACUAUAGGGCGAAUUGGGCCCGACGUCGCAUGCUCCCGGCCGCCAUGGCGGCCGCGGGAAUUCGAUUAGAGUUUGAUCCUGGCUCAGAUUGAACGCUGGCGGCGUGCUUAACACAUGCAAGUCGAACGUGAAAGUCCUUCGGGGCGAGUAAAGUGGCGCACGGGUGAGUAACGCGUGGAUAAUCUACCCUUAAGAUGGGGAUAACGGCUGGAAACGGUCGCUAAUACCGAAUACGCUCCCGAUUUUAUCAUUGGGGGGAAAGAUGGCCUCUGCUUGCAAGCUAUCGCUUAAGGAUGAGUCCGCGUCCCAUUAGCUAGUUGGCGGGGUAACGGCCCACCAAGGCAACGAUGGGUAGCCGGUCUGAGAGGAUGACCGGCCACACUGGAACUGGAACACGGUCCAGACUCCUACGGGAGGCAGCAGUGGGGAAUAUUGCGCAAUGGGCGAAAGCCUGACGCAGCGACGCCGCGUGAGGGAUGAAGGUUCUCGGAUCGUAAACCUCUGUCAGGGGGGAAGAAACCCCCUCGUGUGAAUAAUGCGAGGGCUUGACGGUACCCCCAAAGGAAGCACCGGCUAACUCCGUGCCAGCAGCCGCGGUAAUACGGAGGGUGCAAGCGUUAAUCGGAAUCACUGGGCGUAAAGCGCACGUAGGCGGCUUGGUAAGUCAGGGGUGAAAUCACUAGUGAAUUCGCGGCCGCCUGCAGGUCGACCAUANGGGAGAGCNCC